GAUGAACGCUGGCGGCGUGCCUAAUACAUGCAAGUCGAGCGAAUGGAUUAAGAGCUUGCUCUUAUGAAGUUAGCGGCGGACGGGUGAGUAACACGUGGGUAACCUGCCCAUAAGACUGGGAUAACUCCGGGAAACCGGGGCUAAUACCGGAUAACAUUUUGAACCGCAUGGUUCGAAAUUGAAAGGCGGCUUCGGCUGUCACUUAUGGAUGGACCCGCGUCGCAUUAGCUAGUUGGUGAGGUAACGGCUCACCAAGGCAACGAUGCGUAGCCGACCUGGGAAGGUGAUAGGCCACACUGGGACUGAGACACGGCCGAGACUCCUACGGGAGGCAGCAGUAGGGAAUCUUCCGCAAUGGACGAAAGUCUGACGGAGCAACGCCGCGUGAGUGAUGAAGGCUUUCGGGUCGUAAAACUCUGUUGUUAGGGAAGAACAAGUGCUAGUUGAAUAAGCUGACACCUUGACGGUACCUAACCAGAAAGCCACGGCUAACUACGUGCCAGCCGCCGCGGUAA
rnacentral:rRNA from 1 species